rnacentral:tRNA from 1 species
GGUGACGCAGUGGUUUAAAGCACUCAGCUGUUAACUGAAAGGCCGGUGGUUCAAACCCACCAGUUGCUA